rnacentral:SRP_RNA from 1 species
UAGUGGGAUAGGUGGGGAGCUAGGCGUACCCUGAACCACAAAUCGUCUUCAUGGUGGGCUGAACGCCUUGGAGCGGCGAGAGCGGCUUUAUGGUUCCUACACGCGGACGUUGAUGUCUCGCCCCCACAUGACCCGGGUGUCAUGAACUGUCUCCGGAAGGAAACAGGAAGUGAAUAACUGGGGAAUCAGGUCAGGCCGGGAACGGAGCAGCCCUACUCGGGGCCAUGGGUGCUGUGGGGUAGCGGGAUGGAGAAAGUGUGUGGAUUUGGCCAUAUUGAACGUGCGUCCAUCCUCGGAAUUCCCACUA